AGCGAAACGGGAAGAGCCCAAACCAACAAGCUUGCUUGUUGGGGUUGUAGGACACUCUAUACGGAGUUACAAAGGACGACAUUAGACGAAUCAUCUGGAAAGAUGAAUCAAAGAAGGUAAUAAUCCUGUAGUCGAAAAUGUUGUCUCUCUUGAGUGGAUCCUGAGUACGACGGAGCACGUGAAAUUCCGUCGGAAUCUGGGAGGACCAUCUCCUAAGGCUAAAUACUCUCUAGUGACCGAUAGUGAACCAGUACCGUGAGGGAAAGGUGAAAAGCACCCCGGAAGGGGAGUGAAAUAGAACCUGAAACCGUGUGCUUACAAGUAGUCAGAGCCCGUUAAUGGGUGAUGGCGUGCCUUUUGUAGAAUGAACCGGCGAGUUACGAUUUGAUGCAAGGUUAAGCAGUAAAUGUGGAGCCGUAGCGAAAGCGAGUCUGAAUAGGGCGUUUAGUAUUUGGUCGUAGACCCGAAACCAGGUGAUCUACCCUUGGUCAGGUUGAAGUUCAGGUAACACUGAAUGGAGGACCGAACCGACUUACGUUGAAAAGUGAGCGGAUGAACUGAGGGUAGCGGAGAAAUUCCAAUCGAACCUGGAGAUAGCUGGUUCUCUCCGAAAUAGCUUUAGGGCUAGCCUCAAGUGAUGAUUAUUGGAGGUAGAGCACUGUUUGGACGAGGGGCCCCUCUCGGGUUACCGAAUUCAGACAAACUCCGAAUGCCAAUUAAUUUAACUUGGGAGUCAGAACAUGGGUGAUAAGGUCCGUGUUCGAAAGGGAAACAGCCCAGACCACCAGCUAAGGUCCCAAAAUAUAUGUUAAGUGGAAAAGGAUGUGGCGUUGCCCAGACAACUAGGAUGUUGGCUUAGAAGCAGCCAUCAUUUAAAGAGUGCGUAAUAGCUCACUAGUCGAGUGACACUGCGCCGAAAAUGUACCGGGGCUAAACAUAUUACCGAAGCUGUGGAUUGUCCUUUGGACAAUGGUAGGAGAGCGUUCUAAGGGCGUUGAAGCAUGAUCGUAAGGACAUGUGGAGCGCUUAGAAGUGAGAAUGCCGGUGUGAGUAGCGAAAGACGGGUGAGAAUCCCGUCCACCGAUUGACUAAGGUUUCCAGAGGAAGGCUCGUCCGCUCUGGGUUAGUCGGGUCCUAAGCUGAGGCCGACAGGCGUAGGCGAUGGAUAACAGGUUGAUAUUCCUGUACCACCUAUAAUCGUUUUAAUCGAUGGGGGGACGCAGUAGGAUAGGCGAAGCGUGCGAUUGGAUUGCACGUCUAAGCAGUAAGGCUGAGUAUUAGGCAAAUCCGGUACUCGUUAAGGCUGAGCUGUGAUGGGGAGAAGACAUUGUGUCUUUGAGUCGUUGAUUUCACACUGCCGAGAAAAGCCUCUAGAUAGAAAAUAGGUGCCCGUACCGCAAACCGACACAGGUAGUCAAGAUGAGAAUUCUAAGGUGAGCGAGCGAACUCUCGUUAAGGAACUCGGCAAAAUGACCCCGUAACUUCGGGAGAAGGGGUGCUCUUUAGGGUUAACGCCCAGAAGAGCCGCAGUGAAUAGGCCCAAGCGACUGUUUAUCAAAAACACAGGUCUCUGCUAAACCGUAAGGUGAUGUAUAGGGGCUGACGCCUGCCCGGUGCUGGAAGGUUAAGAGGAGUGGUUAGCUUCUGCGAAGCUACGAAUCGAAGCCCCAGUAAACGGCGGCCGUAACUAUAACGGUCCUAAGGUAGCGAAAUUCCUUGUCGGGUAAGUUCCGACCCGCACGAAAGGCGUAACGAUUUGGGCACUGUCUCAACGAGAGACUCGGUGAAAUCAUAGUACCUGUGAAGAUGCAGGUUACCCGCGACAGGACGGAAAGACCCCGUGGAGCUUUACUGUAGCCUGAUAUUGAAAUUCGGCACAGCUUGUACAGGAUAGGUAGGAGCCUUUGAAACGUGAGCGCUAGCUUACGUGGAGGCGCUGGUGGGAUACUACCCUAGCUGUGUUGGCUUUCUAACCCGCACCACUUAUCGUGGUGGGAGACAGUGUCAGGCGGGCAGUUUGACUGGGGCGGUCGCCUCCUAAAAGGUAACGGAGGCGCUCAAAGGUUCCCUCAGAAUGGUUGGAAAUCAUUCAUAGAGUGUAAAGGCAUAAGGGAGCUUGACUGCGAGACCUACAAGUCGAGCAGGGUCGAAAGACGGA
rnacentral:rRNA from 1 species